GAUGAACGCUGGCGGCGUGCCUAAUACAUGCAAGUCGAGCGAACGGACGAGAAGCUUGCUUCUCUGAUGUUAGCGGCGGACGGGUGAGUAACACGUGGAUAACCUACCUAUAAGACUGGGAUAACUUCGGGAAACCGGAGCUAAUACCGGAUAAUAUUUUGAACCGCAUGGUUCAAAAGUGAAAGACGGUCUUGCUGUCACUUAUAGAUGGAUCCGCGCUGCAUUAGCUAGUUGGUAAGGUAACGGCUUACCAAGGCAACGAUGCAUAGCCGACCUGAGAGGAUGAUCAGCCACACUGGAACUGAGACACGGUCCAGACUCCUACGGGAGGCAGCAGUAGGGAAUCUUCGACAAUGGGCGAAAGCCUGACGGAGCAACGCCGCGUGAGUGAUGAAGGUCUUCGGAUCGUAAAACUCUGUUAUUAGGGAAGAACAGAUGUGUAAGUAACUGUGCACAUCUUGACGGUACCUAAUGAGAAAGCCACGGCUAACUACGUG
rnacentral:rRNA from 1 species